GGUUAAGCGACUAAGCGUACACGGUGGAUGCCCUGGCAGUCAGAGGCGAUGAAGGGCGUGCUAAUCUGCGAUAAGCGCCGGUAAGGUGAUAUGAACCGUUAUAACCGGCGAUACCCGAAUGGGGAAACCCAGUGUGACUCGUCACACUAUCAUUAACUGAAUCCAUAGGUUAAUGAGGCGAACCGGGGGAACUGAAACAUCUAAGUACCCCGAGGAAAAGAAAUCAACCGAGAUUCCCCCAGUAGCGGCGAGCGAACGGGGAGGAGCCCAGAGCCUGAAUCAGCAUGUGUGUUAGUGGAAGCGUCUGGAAAGGCGCGCGAUACAGGGUGACAGCCCCGUACACAAAAGCGCAUGUGCUGUGAGCUCGAUGAGUAGGGCGGGACACGUGGUAUCCUGUCUGAAUAUGGGGGGACCAUCCUCCAAGGCUAAAUACUCCUGACUGACCGAUAGUGAACCAGUACCGUGAGGGAAAGGCGAAAAGAACCCCGGCGAGGGGAGUGAAAAAGAACCUGAAACCGUGUACGUACAAGCAGUGGGAGCCCCACCACUAAGCCAGUGGUGAACUCCACAUACGCAUCCUUUGCUGAGGAUACGGUUAACGGAGCGAAAGCGACGUUCAACCGCAAAAGAAGCAGAGGGGGCUUAGUGGUGGGGUGACUGCGUACCUUUUGUAUAAUGGGUCAGCGACUUAUAUUCUGUAGCAAGGUUAACCGCAUAGGGGAGCCGGAGGGAAACCGAGUCUUAACCGGGCGUUAAGUUGCAGGGUAUAGACCCGAAACCCGGUGAUCUAGCCAUGGGCAGGUUGAAGGUUGGGUAACACUAACUGGAGGACCGAACCGACUAAUGUUGAAAAAUUAGCGGAUGACCUGUGGCUGGGGGUGAAAGGCCAAUCAAACCGGGAGAUAGCUGGUUCUCCCCGAAAGCUAUUUAGGUAGCGCCUCGUGAAUUCAUCUCCGGGGGUAGAGCACUGUUUCGGCUAGGGGGCCAUCCCGGCUUACCAACCCGAUGCAAACUGCGAAUACCGGAGAAUGUUAUCACGGGAGACACACGGCGGGUGCUAACGUCCGUCGUGAAGAGGGAAACAACCCAGACCGCCAGCUAAGGUCCCAAAGUCAUGGUUAAGUGGGAAACGAUGUGGGAAGGCCCAGACAGCCAGGAUGUUGGCUUAGAAGCAGCCAUCAUUUAAAGAAAGCGUAAUAGCUCACUGGUCGAGUCGGCCUGCGCGGAAGAUGUAACGGGGCUAAACCAUGCACCGAAGCUGCGGCAGCGACGCUUAUGCGUUGUUGGGUAGGGGAGCGUUCUGUAAGCCUGUG
rnacentral:rRNA from 1 species